UUGCAGUGAACAAGCAAGAAGAGGGCUGUAAUCUGAACCUAGUGAUUCCAAUUAAGGAAUUCAAUUUCCUAUCUCCCAAAUAAUUUACACACAGUAUUGGGUAAAAAUAUUGACUUUUCCAUUUGAUUGCUAUCUCACAUGGCAAAGAAGCCCCAAGUUUGCUGUUCGAAUUGAAUAAGAAAAAGAAAUUGUGUCUUUCUAUUGAGCUGUGCUCACGGACUGCAUGCAAUAAGUGUCGUCACAAUUUAUAAACAAAUGCCUUUUAAUUUGGCACUUUUAAUGAUCAAUUCAAAAUGACUCAAUAACUGAACUGCUUUAAUCAAUCGGACAAAUCAUUCACUGAAUACGUCAGAGCACUUACCAAGUUACUAUAUAGUUACCAUUAUUUCCAUACCCAGUGAUGGAAUAUUUUAAUUGAUAAAUGAAAUAUUUCAUAUAUGUACAGUGUGGUGUGUGUCUCUGUGUGAGCUAAAUCUGACAAAACCUCCCUUUGGAGAAGGCAAAUGCUGUUUUACAAUAGUAAAAAAAAAAAAAAAAAAAAUAAAAUACUUUUUUAUAAUUUACACAGCAAUAGUUAAAGGAGUGUUUGCUUCAUAUGUAACCAGCUGUAAAUGAAAAAUAGUCAAAUUAAUUGAAGUCAAACUGAAUUGAAAGUAGAAUUGAAUCAAGAGCUUGUGAAUCUGAAUCAAAUCAGGACGUGUGCAUACCCGGCACUAUUAAAAAAAGCAUGGGAUCAGAAUGAAUAAUGUGAAUAUCAUAAAAGUAAGAAGCAAAGUGUGGCUAAAUUUAUACGUGCUCACAUCUGUAUUUUUUUUACAUAUAUGGAUGUGGCAAAAGGCAAGGGCUGGAUAAUAUUCUCUCCAGAUGUAUUCCAUCUCAGGAAAUCUCCUCUCCCCUGACCCAACUCCCUCCUCUGCCUCUGAUGUCGUAGGCCAUAUAAACGCCUCCUCUCAUAAAUAUUAUUUCAAAAUGGGAUUUAAUAACCAGCCCAUGACGCAUUCUCCCCUCUUGAGAUCCUUCAGGGGACAUCAGAAAACACCAUGGGGGGAAGAAGCACAGAAAAGCCAGAGAGUAAGCUCCAGAAAUAUCUUACAAACUAAGGACGUGUGGUUUGAGAUCCAUCCAGUUCAGAACAACACUCCUCAUCAGCAACUCUAAAGCCUCUAGCUGAAUCCAGAAUUAUUCAAGGUGAAGACAGGGCUGAGGUGUGUGUACAUUUUCUACCUGCAGCUCAGGUAAGCUUCCUGAUUGACUAAUACUUGCUGGAAGUCUUGAGGGUUUUGCUAAUGAAAGCGGUAUUUCAUAUAUAUGCAUCAAAACUUUUCUCUUUAUGACAGGAUGACUGCUGCAGGUUAGUGGUUCUCCAGUAGGAUCCUUCAAUAUGUCAUGCAAGGAACCCCAAAUAGUAACCUUAAUAUAGUCAAAUCAAGUCUCCUCCAUUUUUUAUAUAACUUUAUACAAUAAUAUCGCUUCAAAGCAGCUUCACAAAAGUAACAGAAUUAAUCUUCAAAUGUUGAUUCAGUUCAGUUCAAUAACUGUUGUUGUUGCAAAUUGUGUCAAUUAUGAAUGAAUUUGAUUCAGCUAUAAAGCAGCUCCACAGUAGACAAUAGGGUUAAUAUUUAGUGAGAGUAGUGUCAGUGCAGUCAAUCAAUAUUUAAUUUUAAUAUUAGGUAUCUUUUAACCUCACUAGCAAGACAAAGGCAACAGUGGCAGGGAACCAACAGCUCCACAGUAGACAAUAGGGUUAAUAUUUAGUGAGAGUAGUGUCAGUGCAGUCAAAUCAAUAUUUAAUUUUAAUAUUAGGAUCUUUUAAACCUCAACUAGCAAGACAAAGGCAACAGUGGCAGGGAACCCAAAUUCAAUCUGGUUACAAAAAUGGAGAGAAAAAAUAUUAAAAGUUUCCCUAAAUCAGCAUCCAUAAAUUAAUCACAGGGUGUUAUUGCAUAGAUGUGAUUAUAGGAGAGUCUUAUCUGUUUGACUUGAGCUUUUAUAUGCAAUCAACUCAAAGUGCUGUAAAAGUGGUUCGUCCUAUUUUCCUCGAGGAGCAAAGUCCCAGAUCGUGAGUCAGACAGGAAAUUGUUUAUAUGCACUGAUAUUCGCUCUGAGCUCAGUCGUCCUCGUCUCAUGCCUGUCUGUUGAUUUGUGAGAGCCAAGUCACAGUGCGAUGACUGUGUGGUGUUAGGUUUCUUUCCAGUCCCUGGAGUAUGCGAAAAAUGAAGCGCACAUGCAGCACAAGUCCAGAAGAACAUCCAAACAGCCUCAGAGUUGUAUAAACAUGAAACGCAGAAAAGAUGGAAGAAGUAUCUGAAUGAAGUCUGAAUGUGGAUUCAAAUAAACAUCUGUGGAGUGGUCCAGACUCAGUGUCUUUGGCUCUCUCUGAUGGUUUUUACCACCGAAGUGUUGCAAAAGGCUGUGGCCAGCGCUGUGGCCUUCACAUGGUGACUGUAUCUUGUUGUUCAAGAGUUGAGAGAGAGAGCACUUCUACUCUUUGAGUUAAAUUUUUUUUGUGUGUAUGAAUUAUCUGUUGACAGAUGCCUGAGUGUACUUGCGGAAAAAACGUCUUCUAAAAUUAAAAAUGUGUCCAUCGCUCUUGACUGUGGUUUACGGAAGAGGAUUAGGGCCAAGCAAUAAAUAAAAAAAAUAAAACCAUCUCGAGAUUAAUGUCAUUAUAUUGCGAGAUUAAACUCGUUAAAUUUCGAGAAAAAAAAGUCGAAAUACAAUCUUGAGAAUAAACUCAUGAAAUAUCGUCGAAAUACAGUCUUGAGAAUAAACUCAUUAAAUUUCGAGAAUAAAGUCGUGUUUACGAGUAAAAAAACUCGUUAAAUUUCGAGAAAAAAAAGUCGAAAUACAAUCUUGAGAAUAAACUCAUUUAAUUUCGAGAAUAAAGUUGUUGUGUUUCGAGAAAAAAAGUCGAAAUGAAAUGUAGAGAAUAACGCAUUCGAUCAGUGUUCAUUGUAUAGUCUAUAUCUUUCAGUAACAAAGAAAUACUAUCAACUUUAACUAAUUAUGACACAAUAAUAAUUAGCACACGAACUUUAAAGAGAAUUUGCAAGCGGCUAGGUCUUUUUAGAAGAAAAAAUCAGUCCAAUUUGCGCAAUGUAGGCUACUCGCUUUUGUCCAACAUGAAAUGAGAACCAGAGGACAAAUGCAAGGUUAUCGCUGGCUUCACCCAAAUGCACUCUGGCACUUGGACAUCUAUGAUAAAUUAAAACCGUACGGCAUUGCCAUUAAUGGCGUGUAAUGUAAUGAGAUUAUUCUCAAAGAAAUACUAUCAACUUUAACUAAUUAUGACACAAUAAUAAUUAGCACACGAACUUUAAAGAGAAUUUGCAAGCGGCUAGGUCUUUUUAGUAAGAAAAAAUACAGUCCAAUUUGCGCAAUGUAGGCUACUCGCUUUUGUCCAACAUGAAAUGAGAACCAGAGGACAAAUGCAAGGUUAUCGCUGGCUUCACCCAAAUGCACUCUGGCACUUGGACAUCUAUGAUAAAUUAAAACCGUACGGCAUUGCCAUUAAUGGCGUGUAAUGUAAUGAGAUUAUUCUCAAGAUUGUAUUUCGACUUUUUUUCUCGAAAUUUAACGAGUUUUUUUCUCGAAACACAACAACUUUAUUCUCGAUAUUUAAUGAGUUUAUUCUCAAGAUUGUAUUUCGACUUUUUUUCUCGAAAUUUAACGUUUCGUACUUUUUUUCUACGAAAUUUAACGAGUUUAAUCUACGAAACACUAACGUACUUUUUCUCGAUAUUUAAUGAGUUUAUUCUCAAGAUUGUAUUUCGACUUUUUUUCUCGAAAUUUAAUCUCGCAAUAUAAUGACUUUAAUCUCAAGAUGAUUUUUAAUUAUUGCUUGGCCCUAAUCCUCUUCCGUAGUGGUUGGUAUGUGACUGUCAAGCAAGUAUUUUCACCUUGUCAGUUACCUGACAAAAUAAUAAUUAGUCAUGUCUGAGUUCAACCAAAGCUGCCUUUAGAUUUUUAGCUCUCCUCCAAAAUCUAGUGACCUACCUCAUUGCCUGCCUAAUAAUUAUUAUUAUUUUUUUUAAUUUUUUUUACAAAUAUCACUCCCUGCAUGAAGCAAAUCAGAGACGAUUAACAGAGACAAAUAUUGUCUUAAAAAGGCAUAAAUAGUCCGUUUUAAACUGACUAAAAUGUUGAAGUUUUUC
rnacentral:lncRNA from 1 species